rnacentral:lncRNA from 1 species
GAUUUUCCACUUCAGCAUCACUAACUUCACUGUUCAGUGAUGGACUGUGUGUGGCUGGAGGUGCCGAGAUAGGGUUGGGAUAGGGAAGGGCUGAGAGGUGAGACCUGGGUCGAAGUCCCUGAGGGCAUCAGGAGACCUUGGAAGGCUCAGCUUCCAUUUUCUCAUCUGUCAGAGGUUAUCAAGGAGACCGGAAUCGUUUUAAAGACAAGUUUUGCUAUUUUGGGGGUGGGCAGAGAACACUCAUCCCUGGAUGUGAUCUCUGCUUGCUCCAUCCCCCCCAGCCCUACACCCUCCGGGUACCCCUGCCCACACCUUACAUGGCCAGGCUAUGAAGGCCUGUGGCCCUGUGCUCAGUUGCAGCGGAAACGGCACAUCGGGAACGACA